rnacentral:rRNA from 1 species
UACGAAGGGUGCAAGCGUUAAUCGGAAUUACUGGGCGUAAAGGGUGCGUAGGCGGUUGUUUAAGUCUGUCGUGAAAUCCCCGGGCUCAACCUGGGAAUGGCGAUGGAUACUGGACAGCUAGAGUGUGUCAGAGGAUGGGUGGAAUUCCCGGUGUAGCGGUGAAAUGCGUAGAGAUCGGGAGGAACACCAAUGGCGAAAGGCAGCACUCGUGGGACGUACUGACGCUGAGACGCGAAAGCGUGGGGGAGCAAACAGG